rnacentral:miRNA from 1 species
AGGGCCAACAACUGUUGUGGUUUGUCUGGGACUGAGAGAUUUCCCUGGAUGUAGAACUUUUAGUGCUAAAAAUCAAGACAGUC